GUGGGGAAUAUUGCGCAAUGGGCGAAAGCCUGACGCAGCGACGCCGCGUGAGGGAUGAAGGUUCUCGGAUCGUAAACCUCUGUCAGAAGGGAAGAAAUUAUAUCAUGCUAAUCAGUGGUGUAUUGACGGUACCUUCAAAGGAAGCACCGGCUAACUCCGUGCCAGCAGCCGCGGUAAUACGGAGGGUGCGAGCGUUAAUCGGAAUUACUGGGCGUAAAGCGCACGUAGGCUGUAUGACAAGUCAAGGGUGAAAUGCCACGGCUCAACCGUGGAACUGCCUUUGAAACUGUCAAACUGGAGUAUGUGAGAGGGCGGCGGAAUUCCUGGUGUAGGAGUGAAAUCCGUAGAUAUCAGGAGGAACAUCAGUGGCGAAGGCGGCCGCCUGGCACAAAACUGACGCUGAGGUGCGAAAGCGUGGGUAGCAAACAGG
rnacentral:rRNA from 1 species